rnacentral:rRNA from 1 species
CGCGUAGGCGGCGACUUAAGUAGGAUGUGAAAUCUCCCGGCUCAACCGGGGAACUGCGUUCUAAACUGGGUUGCUUGAGUGAGAUAGAGGUGUGCGGAACUUCCGGUGGAGCGGUGAAAUGUGUUGAUAUCGGAGGGAACACCGUUGGCGAAAGCGGCACACUGGGUCUUAACUGACGCUGAGGCACGAAAGCCAGGGGAGCAAACG